GGGGCUGACCGGUUUUGACAGCUUGUAGAAGGGUUAUGUAAGCAUACCGAGCCUUGCAGUGACGCUCGUAAAUCUUGACUGCAAAAAAUUAAUUGGCGAAAAUACUUACGCUCUCGCUGCUUAAUCGAAGCACAGUAGAUUGAAGCUUUAUCCUUUCACAAGGUGAGAGGACGAGACAUCUCGCGGAUGGAGCCUCCCGAUUCCGGUCCGACAACGAGGUGCUCAGCAAUUUCGGGAUAGCGACGCGGAAGCUCCGGCAACGUCGCGAAACUCAAGGAGAUAAGGUCUGGAUUAGGAUGUCUGCUUCCUUGCCUGACACGAAAACCAACAACAGAAUAAGUAUGUAGAAAGCAUAAUUGUUCCUUGUUUGGACGAGGGUUCGACUCCCUCCAGCUCCACUA
rnacentral:tmRNA from 1 species